UGCGUAGGCGGGUUUCUAAGUCAGAAGUGAAAGCCUGGAGCUCAACUCCAGAACUGCCUUUGAUACUGGAAGUCUUGAGUAUGGCAGAGGUGAGUGGAACUGCGAGUGUAGAGGUGAAAUUCGUAGAUAUUAGGAGGAACACCAGUGGCGAAGGCGACUUACUGGACUGUAACUGACGCUGAGGCACGAAAGCGUGGGUAGCGAACA
rnacentral:rRNA from 1 species